CAGUCGCCGCGGGAAUACGAAGGGGGCUAGCGUUGUUCGGAAUUACUGGGCGUAAAGCGCACGUAGGCGGACUUUUAAGUCAGGGGUGAAAUCCCGGGGCUCAACCUCGGAACUGCCUUUGAUACUGGAGAUCUCGAGUUCGGGAGAGGUGAGUGGAACUGCGAGUGUAGAGGUGAAAUUCGUAGAUAUUCGCAAGAACACCAGUGGCGAAGGCGGCUCACUGGCUCGAUACUGACGCCGAGGCACGAAAGCGUGGGGAGCAAACAGGAUUAGAUACCCCUGUAGUCCCUGUCUCUUAUAC
rnacentral:rRNA from 1 species